UACGGGGGGUGCAAGCGUUGUCCGAAGUUACUGGGCGUAAAGCGCGCGUAGGCGGGGGGUUAAGUGAGAGGUGAAAGGCUGGGGCUCAACCUCAUGCAGUGCCUCUCAUACUGGCCUUCUUGAGGGCGGUAGGGAGAAGUGGAAUGGCUGGUGUAGCGGUGAAAUGCGUAGAUAUCAGUCGGAACACCGGUGGCGAAGGCGGCUUCUUGGGCCGUUCCUGACGCUGAUGCGCGAAAGCUGGGGGAGCGAACGGG
rnacentral:rRNA from 1 species